rnacentral:rRNA from 1 species
AGAGGGGGCAAGCGUUGUUCGGAAUUACUGGGCGUAAAGGGCGCGUAGGCGGCCUGCUAAGUCGAACGUGAGAUCCCCGGGCUCAACCCGGGAACUGCGUCCGAUACUGGCAGGCUUGAAUUCGGGAGAGGGAUGCGGAAUUCCAGGUGUAGCGGUGAAAUGCGUAGAUAUCUAGAGGAACACCGGUGGCGAAGGCGGCAUCCUGGACCGAAAUUGACGCUGAGGCGCGAAAGCCAGGGGAGCAAACGGGAUUAGAUACCCCGGUAGUCCUGGCCCUAAACGAUGAAUGCUUGGUGUGGCGGGUAUCGAUCCCUGCCGUGCCGAAGCUAACGCAUUAAGCAUUCCGCCUGGGGAGUACGGUCGCAAGGCUG